GUUAAUGAGGCGAACCGGGGGAACUGAAACAUCUAAGUACCCCGAGGAAAAGAAAUCAACCGAGAUUCCCCCAGUAGCGGCGAGCGAACGGGGAGCAGCCCAGAGCCUGAAUCAGUGUGUGUGUUAGUGGAAGCGUCUGGAAAGGCGCGCGAUACAGGGUGACAGCCCCGUACACAAAAAUGCACAUGCUGUGAGCUCGAUGAGUAGGGCGGGACACGUGGUAUCCUGUCUGAAUAUGGGGGGACCAUCCUCCAAGGCUAAAUACUCCUGACUGACCGAUAGUGAACCAGUACCGUGAGGGAAAGGCGAAAAGAACCCCGGCGAGGGGAGUGAAAAAGAACCUGAAACCGUGUACGUACAAGCAGUGGGAGCACGCUUAGGCGUGUGACUGCGUACCUUUUGUAUAAUGGGUCAGCGACUUAUAUUCUGUAGCAAGGUUAACCGAAUAGGGGAGCCGAAGGGAAACCGAGUCUUAACUGGGCGUUAAGUUGCAGGGUAUAGACCCGAAACCCGGUGAUCUAGCCAUGGGCAGGUUGAAGGUUGGGUAACACUAACUGGAGGACCGAACCGACUAAUGUUGAAAAAUUAGCGGAUGACUUGUGGCUGGGGGUGAAAGGCCAAUCAAACCGGGAGAUAGCUGGUUCUCCCCGAAAGCUAUUUAGGUAGCGCCUCGUGAAUUCAUCUCCGGGGGUAGAGCACUGUUUCGGCAAGGGGGUCAUCCCGACUUACCAACCCGAUGCAAAC
rnacentral:rRNA from 1 species